AGGCGGGUGCACUGUCACCACGCAGAGACCGAUGUCGAGGAGGGAGGGAAGGCAUUCCUAGAGCACCUGAGGAUAGGUCACCCAUUUACCAACACUUCCUCUUAUUACUCGCUCAAGUAAUAAGACAAGGCAGGGUGAUCCACCUCUAGGACACUUCUAAAAGGCUCGUUCAAAAUCAUUAGUGAGACUGCUGCUUAGGGCAGAGGCCAUAUUUUACACCCAGUACACCCAGAACAGUACUGAGAACCAACAGUGAAAACCAAAGACCUGACCAAAACCAGACGUACUGAAUCCUGUUAAGAUGAAGAAGAGGAAGAGAAAAGGGGAGAGAGAAGUAGAAAAACAGCUAACAGUUAUUGAGCUCUUCCCAAGCCAGGAACUGUAUGUGUUUCCAUCCUCACAACAACUCCAUGAUGUAGGCACAAUUGUGAUCCCUGUUUCACAAAUCAGGAACUGAGGCACUAAGAGGUUCAGGAACCUGCCCAAAGCCAAAUCACUAAUGCUAACUCCACAAUAAAUCUAUUGAAUCCCUAACUUCAUCCAGCAUCUGCUUCCUGGAGAAUCCAACUUAGACAAGUACCAAGAUGUAAAGUGAUAGAACAUUGUUUAGAUUAUCAAAAUUAUGUUAAAUGACUACAAUUGUCCUUUCACAUGAUUGAUGUUUCCUCUCCAUAAUAACCCUCAAUACCUUCCAUUGUUACCCUUUUCUCAUAUGCACAUAAUGUAUCUACAGCCUCCCACUAAGAAUGAUUUUGAUGUUAUUCUGUAGAGUGAUACUGUCAGGUCAUAGGGACCCUUUUGCUUGGGACAUACUUCCCAUUGGGAAUCUCUUCUACCUUUCCAGAAGCAAAGCCAUUUCCCCCAGAGGUAAACUGAUUCCUUCUCUUACUUCUAACCAGGUAUGUUAAAUUGCAUAUACAUGCACCAGAAUUUUUUGUUGAGAUUCUCAUUAAAGAGCAGUAGACAUACUGUUGCCUAUAGAUGGCCAUCUACAAGGCCUAAAUUACAGAUAGGCAAAUGCUGCACAUUUUCCUUGCUGCUUCAGUGAUUUUUCAUUUUUUAUCACUUCCUCUACAACAUACAACAUAGAACUACUCCUCAAGUAUCUACUGAUGGUUAAUGUGGCUAUAGACCCUAAUAGUUAAUUGCAUUUGUAAUAUGUAUCGUUUUGUAUAUUUAUCUAGAGAAUGAUUAA